rnacentral:lncRNA from 1 species
UUUCUCUCUCUGGGUGGAGCAGUGCAUAACUUAGCAACCCUCAGGAUGGCUUGCGUAGAAUCAGAUGUUCAGCCAGGAGGGCCUUACAAUUUACCUGGACCGACCCUUCAUUUUACAGACGGAUGAAGCGAGACCCAGGAGAGGAACAGUUUGCAGAAGAGCACCGGCUGCUGAACAUGGCUUGAACCCUGUACCAGAGCAGUUACUCUCCUCUUGGCAAAGCUGCUGAACUCAUCUGAGAAACGAAUGAAACACUCAGGGCCCUGUCAAUUUUCCCUCCGUUGUUAAGGAAACAAUUUCCAAAGCUCCAAGACUUCCACAGGCAGCUCCUGUUAAGCCCUCAUUCUGUAAGUGUCCCAGGCUUCCUCUCCAAUCUCCACAGUGCAGACAGCCAGCCUUACUUCUGAGGGUCAAUGUAUGGGCUGCCCCUGUGGUUACGUCCCCUGCAGCUGGACAAGAAUGCUCCAAGUGGGUAAUUGAUGCACUUGGGAGUUGCUCUGAGGAUGGGGUCACACAGCAGUGCCCACUAGUCUCCUGGGCUGCUCCCUGCUGCCAAGGUCCCCGACUCAGCUCCGAGUUGCCUCCCAGGGAGAGUCUGUGAGAUACUCAGCUGGAACAUUCCUGCCAACACACUUCCUACACCCCGUUUGCAUACUGUGCCCCUUUUGUGAUCCUCCACACAGUAUGGCCUCUGUCCAGAGAUGUCCAAGACACACAAGGUCUCAACAGGGGUGGAGGAAUGCUGGGGGCUUGCAAAAAGGCUGCUGGGAACUGGGCAGGGUAAUAAGGACUUAGAGUGUGGCCUGUCCAAGAGCUGGAACAUGCUGGCAGGAAAAUGCCUGGCUCUGUGUAGCUUAAAACAGUUUUGUUUCAGGUCAUUAUUAUCCAGGACUUUUUGUCAGAGACAGAAGAGAAAUAAAAGGCUAAGACAGGAUAUUGAAUUUCCGCUCUCUUCCAUUUCUCUGUGAUUGUCACCUUUUAAAUGUUCCCGUUUUUUUCUUUCGUGAGUCACUUGGCUGGUACUUCUCACAGCUCCUUGG